UGAAAAAGAAGAGACCUGUUAUCUGCUAUAUGAGGUCUGCUCAAACCAUAACCCCUAUUUCUUUCUCCCUUCCAUGUACCAGCGCAAAAAAAAAAACGAAUCCUUUAAUUUCAGAUCUAAUUGUAUUCCCAGCGCUCAUUCAUCUCAAACUUCUCACUCCUUUAUUCUCAAUCAAAACCCCUAAUUUAUAUUAUUGCAGAUCACCAUUUUCAGAAGCUCAUCGAAAUUCAAUAAAAGAACCCUAAUUUUUGAAAUAUGAAUCUCAAUUUCUCACUUUAAUUGAUGCAAAAGUUUCCAAUUUUUCCAUUUAAAAGUGUAUCAGCCUUGGAGGUUUCAUAUGGGGAGUCAAUUCGCGGAGCUCAAACAAUAGCUAACAGAGCAAGAGAUGAAUCGCAAGCUAAAAGAAAAGUUCAAUAAAUUUUCGCCUCUUGAGUUUCCUGACAUAUGAAGUUGCAAGGAAACAUUUGUCACUGGCCUGUCUUCAUUUACUAGCUAGACUGGUUGCCUGCAGAAAUUGACUCAAUUUUAGGUUUCUUCAAGAGAUGUUUUUACUUUUUGUUUCAAAAAAUAAUAUGUACUUCAUCAUUUGCUCUGUUCCUUAUCCUGGUUGCAGGCCAGUUUUGGCCUUGCUUGUAGUUUGCAGAGGCUAUCUAAAUUGCAAUAAGAAAGACUUAUCGUUUGCAUAGUUAUAUGUUUUGGUCUUCUUGACCAUGAGAGAUGAGUUUGAGUAAGGAUAAGGAGUACUCGAGGAUUUUGCCAAAGUUGAUGAACUUGUGUCAAUAUCAGAUGAACAUUCGGGGAUGUAGUGUGUGGUAGUUUAGCAAAUUCUUUAUGGCGGAAACACAUACAUUUUAAUGUAUUAGCCUCUAAACUCAUACUGUUAAUUUCAACUUCAGAUUGUUCCUGCUGCUAGCCAUCGACUUUGCUUGAUCUUUUAUGAUGCAGGUCCUAAGAAAAACUCUCUAAAUUUAUAUCUUCAGAUAGUUUUCCAUAGCAAUAGAGUGCUUGGUUCUUGAGCUCGGAAGAUGGAUAUUGGGUUUUUCUAUGGCCAUUGCAGACUACAUAGUAAGCAUAAACUUUUGCAUGUCAUCUCAACUUUGAACAUACUUUAAACAUGGUAAACUUAGUAACAUAAUGAUCACUACAGGCACUACAAACUCCUAUUAGUGUGAGUGCGUGACAGUGCUAAUUCCUAGUCAAAAUAUCCUAUAUGGCUUGACCUAAAUGGAAUAUAUGUUUAUAAAUCAUGUAUACCUCUGCUUGGUUUGUCUAUCAAGCUGAAAUAGCUGAAUUGAUCAGUUUCAGUAAUAAUAACACUCACAAGUAGACAUUCUCAUAGAGUGGCCAUAACUUAGAGCCUUAGAGCCCUAGGAAUUUGUUUUUUCAUGACUUUUUAUCAGUAUUUUUUUAACCAUUGUUUGGAAAUUACAUUAUUCUAGAGUACCUCGCAACUGUGUAGGUUAAUGUCACCAUUAUUAAUGGCGUACUUGAAUGCUAAAAUGCUGUUAGAGAAGGAGCUGCCCUUAACAUCAGAAAUUGUGUGGUGUGAAUGGUAGGACACUUUGAUUUGAUAGAAUAAUAAAUAUUACAAAGGAUAAUCCCUUUUGUACUACACUAACUAAAUGUAUUAAUGCUUGUCGUGCUACAUGUACAAUGUGGAUUGCUGAGGAGCUUUUACAGCGAUAACAAAGGGAAUUUUGGUGUCCUGCUCUGCUAGAAAUACUGGACCCGACUCUAGCAGCUUGUCAAAUGUUGCUCCAUGGAUAACCACUGUGGGUGUUGGUGAAAUCGAUCGUGAUUCCCCAACCUAUGUUAUCCUAGGAGAUGGCAGGAAUUUUACCGGUGCAUAACUUUCCAGUGUUUUCUGAAGAAAGUUAUUCAUCGGAAAAUGUGGAUGAGGUUAGACACAUGUGGGUCGAGUAUUUUCUCAAGCAAAAAGCGGACCAAGAAAACAAAGUUGAUGGUAUGGAAAUAACUCCAUGAGUUUUGGUUUCAAUUGUUGGUAAAUUGGUGUGAAUGAUUAUAUUUUGGAAUUGAUUUUUGUUUUACGGUUUUGGGAAUCGCGAUGUAAAGUUUGACGCUUAUGCAAAUCACAGUUUAUGUAAAGCUUGCGUUUUGAGCAUUACUUGUUGGAAAUAUUUUUUUUGGUAAUAUAUGGAUUAUGGAGUUGUUCUCGAA